UUUGAAGUGCUGCGAAUGGUAGAAACUUGUAUUCUUGUUUACUGAUACCUGUUUCUUGUGUUGUCCAGCAAAACUCUCCUGUGAGAUCUCUUCUCUUGGCAUCAUCCACCAUGCACAGUUCACGGUUUUAAACCUUUUUAUUAAAAAAAAAAAGUUGCCAAACAAAAACAUUGCUACUUCCACUAUAAAAUGAUUCGAGUAUUCCCUUUUAAUUAUUGAAAACGAUUUUAUGCUAAUUUAAAACAUUGAUGCAUCAAACCUCGUGUUAUAUUUGAAAACUGUAGUGUCAAGAAGAUGAAGAUCCCUAAUAUGCAUCGCU
rnacentral:lncRNA from 1 species